rnacentral:rRNA from 1 species
UGAUGUCAAGUCAGCAUGGCCUUUAUAUCCUGGGCUACACACACGCUACAAUGGCCAACACAAUAGGUUGCUAAGCCGCGAGGUGGCGCCAAUCCAUAAAGUUGGUCUCAGUUCAGAUUGUAGGCUGCAACCCGCCUGCAUGAAGAUGGAGUUGCUAGUAACCGCAGGUCAGCUAUACUGCGGUGAAUACGUUCUCGGGCCUU